rnacentral:lncRNA from 1 species
AAUUUUUGAUUUUUGAAGAAGAACAAAAGAAGAAUGAGGAUGAAAAUAUGUGAAUGAGGAAGAAAGGGAUGAUACAAUUAAUGAUGAGGAUAAGAAUAAUUUCAUGAUUGAAGAUUAUUAGAGGUGAGUCAUCAAUUUAGAGUGAUAAUACAAUGAAUGGGGAGGAAGAUUAUACAUUCAUGAUUAAUUAAGGAAUCUUGGGCUAGGUGAGUCAUCAAUUUAGAUUAGGUGACUCACCACUUUCAUAAUUAUAAAUUUGGAAGCUUGAGGCAAGAGGGGAAGAAUGGGAGGAGGGUGGUUUGAUGUCCUCCACGUUUCGUUUUUUGUUUUUGUUUUUUUUGUUUUUUGUUUUUUGCCUACAAGGGUAUUUGGGUAAUUUUGACACAUAAGGGUAUUUUGGUCAUGUUUGUCCAAUUUCAAAUUAAACACACUUAAUUUAAUAAUCUCAAUCCAAAAUCACUUGAUAAAAUACCAAUAGUCAUUCUCCACCAUAAUAUUAUUUUUCAUUAAAAUAUGAAAAUCCACCUUGAAUUUUUCUGGGUAUUACAUGCCUACACUAGGGCUUGGGGGCAUUUUUGUCACUCUUGUGAUAUUUUUGAUCCUAUAAGUGUGUAGCUAUGGAAUCCAAUCAUCCUAAGAUUUUCCAAGUUGGUGAAAUUGGAAGAGAGAAAACAUCAAGCCCUCUCUCCCUAACCCCUUGAAUCUAUC